UGGUGGACGCCAGUUCGCGUGGAGCCAUCCUUGAAAUACCACCCUGGCAUGCUUGAGGUUCUAACUCUGGUCCGUGAUCCGGAUCGAGGACAGUGUAUGGUGGGCAGUUUGACUGGGGCGGUCUCCUCCUAAAGAGUAACGGAGGAGUACGAAGGUGCGCUCAGACCGGUCGGAAAUCGGUCGYAGAGUAUAAAGGCAAAAGCGCGCUUGACUGCGAGACAGACACGUCGAGCAGGUACGAAAGUAGGUCUUAGUGAUCCGGUGGUUCUGUAUGGAAGGGCCAUCGCUCAACGGAUAAAAGGUACUCCGGGGAUAACAGGCUGAUACCGCCCAAGAGUUCAUAUCGACGGCGGUGUUUGGCACCUCGAUGUCGGCUCAUCACAUCCUGGGGCUGAAGCCGGUCCCAAGGGUAUGGCUGUUCGCCAUUUAAAGUGGUACGCGAGCUGGGUUUAGAACGUCGUGAGACAGUUCGGUCCCUAUCUGCCGUGGACGUUUGAGAUUUGAGAGGGGCUGCUCCUAGUACGAGAGGACCGGAGUGGACGAACCUCUGGUGUUCCGGUUGUCACGCCAGUGGCAUUGCCGGGUAGCUAUGUUCGGAAAAGAUAACCGCUGAAAGCAUCUAAGCGGGAAACUUGCCUCAAGAUGAGAUCUCACUGGGAACUUGAUUCCCCUGAAGGGCCGUCGAAGACUACGACGUUGAUAGGCUGGGUGUGUAAGCGUUGUGAGGCGUUGAGCUAACCAGUACUAAUUGCCCGUGAGGCUUGACCAUAUAACACCCAAACA
rnacentral:rRNA from 1 species